UACGUAGGGUGCGAGCGUUGUCCGGAAUUAUUGGGCGUAAAGAGCUUGUAGGCGGUCUGUCGCGUCUGCUGUGAAAAUCCGGGGCUCAACCCCGGACUUGCAGUGGGUACGGGCAGACUAGAGUGUGGUAGGGGAGACUGGAAUUCCUGGUGUAGCGGUGGAAUGCGCAGAUAUCAGGAGGAACACCGAUGGCGAAGGCAGAUCUCUGGGCCGUAACUGACGCUGAGGAGCGAAAGCAUGGGGAGCGAACAGG
rnacentral:rRNA from 1 species